rnacentral:rRNA from 1 species
AUUGAACGCUAGCGGCAUGCCUUACACAUGCAAGUCGAGCGAGCGGCGGACGGGUGAGUAAUGUAUGGGGACUGCCCGGUAGCGGGGGAUAACUACUGGAAACGGUGGCUAAUACCGCAUACUAUCGGAUAACCCAUAUGGGAUUAGCUAGUAGGUGGGGUAAAGGCUCACCUAGGCGACGAUCCGUAGCUGGUCUGAGAGGAUGAUCAGCCACACUGGGACUGAGACACGGCCCAGACUCCGACGGAGGCAGCAGUGGGGAAUAUUGCACAAUGGGGGCAAGCCUGAUGCAGCCAUGCCGCGUGUAGGAUGAAGGCCUUAGGGUUGUAAAGUACUUUCAGCGGGGAGGCGGUAUCUGCAGAAUAAGCACCGGCUAACUACGUGCCAGCAGCCGCGGUAAUUC